AGAGUUUGAUCCUGGCUCAGGAUAAACGCUGGCGGCGUGCAUUAUGCAUGCAAGUCGAACGGUUCUGAUUUUAUCAGGAUAGUGGCAAACGGGUGAGUAACACGUAAGUAACCUGCCCCCAAGUAGGGAAUAACUCUGAGAAAUUGGAGCUAAUACCGUAUGUGGUGAUGGAGGUAAUGCUCUAUCAGUAAAGCCUUAGGGCGCUAGGGGAGGGGCUUGCGUCCGAUUAGCUAGUUGGUAGGGUAAUGGCUUACCAAGGCAGUGAUCGGUAGCUGGUCUGAGAGGAUGAUCAGCCACACUGGGAUUGAGAUACGGCCCAGACUCCUACGGGAGGCAGCAGCAAGGAAUAUUGUGCAAUGGGCGAAAGCCUGACACAGCGACGUCGCGUGGGGGAAGAAGGCUUUCGGGUUGUAAACCCCUUUUCUCAGGGAAGAAUAAUGACGGUACCUGAGGAAUAAGUCUCGGCUAACUACGUGCCAGCAGCCGCGGUAAUACGUAGGAGGCGAGCGUUAUUCGGAUUUACUGGGCGUAAAGAGGGCGUAGGCGGUUUUUCAAGUCGGAUGUAAAAUCUCCCGGCUUAAUCGGGAGGGGUCAUUCGAUACUGUUAGGCUAGAGGGCAGCAGAGGGAGAUGGAAUUCCCGGUGUAGUGGUGAAAUACGUAGAUAUCGGGAGGAACACCAGUGGCGAAGGCGGUCUCCUGGGCUGUUGCUGACGCUGAGGCCCAAAAGCGUGGGGAGCAAACAGGAUUAGAUACCCUGGUAGUCCACGCCCUAAACUAUGGACACUAGGUAUGGGGAGUAUCGACCCUCUCUGUGCCGAAGCUAACGCUUUAAGUGUCCCGCCUGGGGAUUACGGGCCGCAAGGCUAAAACUCAAAGGAAUUGACGGGGGCCCGCCGCAAGCAGCGGAGCGUGUGGUUUAAUUCGAUGCAACGCGAAGAACCUUACCCAGGCUUGAAAUGCGGAGUAGCAACCGGGAAACGGGAGCCACCUGUUAAGUCAGGAGCCGUCAUAGGUGCUGCAUGCUGUCGUCAGCUCGUGCCGUGAAGGUGUGGUAAGUUCCCGUUACGAGCGCCACCCUCGAUUGUCAGUGUUUUCUCUGCAAACUGCCCCGCAACCGGUAGGAAGUGGGAUGACUCAGUCAGCAGGC
rnacentral:rRNA from 1 species